rnacentral:rRNA from 1 species
UACGUAGGGGGGCGAGCGUUGUCCGGAUUUAUUGGGCGUAAAGAGCUCGUAGGCGGCUCGGUAAGUCGGGUGUGAAACCUCCAGGCUCAACCUGGAGACGCCACUCGAUACUGCCGUGGCUAGAGUCCGGUAGAGGAGCGUAGAAUUCCUGGUGUAGCGGUGAAAUGCGCAGAUAUCAGGAGGAAUACCAGCGGCGAAGGCGGCGCUCUGGGCCGGAACUGACGCUGAGGAGCGAAAGCGUGGGGAGCAAACAGG